rnacentral:ncRNA from 1 species
ACCUGCAUAAAUAUACUAUAUAUAUAUGUUCUUGAAACAAUGUCUGGGAAUCAGAAGACAAGGUGGUUUUCCAAUUUUGAUAGACGUUUCAGAAAUUCAAAUUUUGUUUUCACGUUUAGCAAAGUUUAUAUUUGCUAAUAUAUGAAAUAUUUGCAUACCAUGAAGAGUAUCUAGACGAAACGAAAAGGUUCAACUACAUUUCUGGGUGACUCUGUAUAACUUUGGCUGAUCUUACAGGUGUGUCCUGACGACUUAUCUUUGCCUUAUCGAUGGUAGGUUACGCACCUAUCAUGGUCGUAACAGGUGACAGGAAAUCAGGGUUCGAUUCCCCAGAUGGAGCCUGAAAAACGGGUACCACAUCCUAAGAAGGCAGUAGGUGCGCAAAUUACCCACUUCCACGGGAUCCCACGGAAACGGAGAGGUAGCGACGAUAAGUAACAAUACGGGGCACUUUUGAGCCCCUAUAACUGGAAUGAGUAUACUCUAAAUCCUUUAACAAGAAUCAGUUGGU